rnacentral:rRNA from 1 species
AGGAAAAGAAACCAACAGGGAUUGCCUCAGUAACGGCGAGUGAAGCGGCAACAGCUCAAAUUUGAAAUCUGGCCUCUUUGGGGUCCGAGUUGUAAUUUGUAGAGGAUGUUUCGGGUACCGCUCCGGUUUAAAUUUCUUGGAACAGAAUGUCAUAGAGGGUGAGAAUCCCGUCUUGGACCGGCGGUAGGGCCCAUGUGAAACUCCUUCGACGAGUCGAGUUGUUUGGGAAUGCAGCUCAAAAUGGGUGGUAAAUUUCAUCUAAAGCUAAAUAUUGGCCAGAGACCGAUAGCGCACAAGUAGAGUGAUCGAAAGAUGAAAAGCACUUUGAAAAGAGAGUUAAACAGUAUGUGAAAUUGUUGAAAGGGAAGCGCUUACAACCAGACUUGAGCGCGACGGUUCCCCCUUCCUUUUGGUUGGGCUACUCCGUCGUGUCCAGGCCAACAUCGGUUUUGGGGGUCGGUUAAAGGCGCAGGGAAUGUAUCUACCCUUCGGGCGUAGACUUAUAGCCCGGCGUGUCAUGCGACCUCCCGGGACCGAGGAACGCGCUUCGGCUCGGAUGUUGGCGUAAUGGUUGUCAGCGACC